CUGGAGCUGCUCCACACCGCCCAGCCCUCUUGUAUUUUUGGUGGCCCCCAGGCUUCUAGAGCAUGCCGGGAUCUUUCAGUGGUCUAAGGAGAAGCUGGGAGCUGAGAAUUUUCUGCUGACAGUGUGGUGCUGAGCUGGGGGAAGAAACUAAGUGACCGAAGUCCAGCAUCACGCUUGCCGAGUGGCUUCUCCCACUUCGUCUCAUCAAUUAGGAAAAUGUUACCAACAGCAAUGACUUCUAGCCCCUGCAGUUUACUCACAGUUGCAGCCUAUCAGUGCUUCAUUCACGUGGAAUUAUCUUGUGUACUAAACUCUGACAUAGGUCAUUAAGUCUCUGUGCAUGAUUAAGGAUCCUAAAUAGACAAAGCAACUGUUAGAUGCUCGUUUCCUCCCGGUGCGGCUGUGUAAAGUAAGAUGGAAGCUCCUCAAGUAUCUUUCUUCUUGAAAAAGUUGCUGCUCAUUAGUGGUUGAUUACUCCAUUAGAGUUUUCAUUAGGUUGCAAACAUCAUGUAUUUCUUUACAGACAUAUUUCUAAAUAUGAUGAAGUAUUUUAUUAAACUGAA
rnacentral:lncRNA from 1 species